ensembl:lncRNA
UAUGAAAUCAAGCUGCAGAGACAUUUCAUCUGAAAAUACAUUUUGUAUAGCUCCUUCUUUUUUCCCAUCCUGCUUCCUUCACUGCCUUAUAGGUUUCUUCAGAGUGCACUCCUUAAGUAAAUUACAUGCACAGGAAUUCCAGUCUCUGAACUCGCUUCUAGGCAACCCAAACUUAAAGCACUUCAAUUAUCAAGUUCUAAACACUUGUGUUAGUAUUUUUAUUGGGAUUUUAUUAAAUUUAUUGAUUAAUAUAUGGAGUGUUGAAAUCUUUACAAUAUGGAAUCACUCUGUUAAAAACUGAUGGGGUAAGUAGCCUCUUAGAUGGUCCCAAUGAUCCCUGCCUUCUGGUUCUUCAAGCUUUCAUGACAUUUCCUCCCCAUUAGUGUGGGCGGGACCUAGUAGCUCACUUCUAACCAACAGAAUGUGGCAAAAGUGAUGGGAUGUUCCUUCUGAUAUUAGGUCACAAAAAGACUGUGACUUCCUUCUUACUCGCCCUCUUAUUCUUUCUCACAUGGAGCCCUCACUCUGAGGGAAUCCAGUAUGUUGCUAACUGCCGCACUGAGAGGCCCACAUGGCAAGGAACUGAUGUCUCCAGCCAACAGUCAACAAGGACCUGAGGCCUGACAACAGCUUUUUAAGUGAGCUUGGAAGAUUUCCCCCAUCGAGGCUUGAGAUGAUUGCAGUACUGACUGAUAACUUGAUGGCAGCCCCAUGAGAGACCCUGAGACAGAGGCACCCAGCUAAGUUAUGUCCACCCAGAUUAUUGACACCCCAAAAACUGUAAGACAAUAAAUGCUUGUUGUUUUAAGCUACGAAGUUUUGGGGGUAAUUCAUUAUGCUGCAAUAAAUAACAAAUACAGAUAUUGGUAACUGGAAGUGAGGCGCUUCCAAAAAAUAACCAAAAAUAUGAAAGUGGCUUUAGAACCAGGCACUGGGUGGAGUCUGGAAGAAUUUUGAGGAGAAUGUUAAAAAAAAACCUAACUUUCCUCAUAUAGACUGUUACUACAAAUCUGGAUUUUGAGGAUGCUGCUGGUGAGGGCUCAGAAAGAAGUGUGGAACAUGUCAUUAGAAACUAGGUGAAAGAGGAUCCUUGUUAUAUAGUGACAGAAAGUUUAGCAACACUAUCACCUUUAGUAACUUGAAAAGUAUGAAAUGUGUCUAAUGAACUGUGUGAUCUAGCUAAGGAGAUUUCCAAGUAAAUUGUUGAAGAUGCCACCUGGUUUCCUCUUGUUGGUUAUAGUAAAAUGUGAGAAGAGAAAGAUGACCUGUAAAGACUGUUAAACGUGAAUGAACAAGGACUUGAGGGUUUUGAAAAAUCUCUGCCUCUCUGGACAGCAAAAGAUGCUAAAAUUGAGAAAUGGCUUCUGAACAGAAAUCACAACUGAAUGAUAUCUCACCAACAAUGAAAGCCAGAAUACAGUGGAAUAUCUUCGAUGUACUGAAAUAAAAUAACUGUUGACCUAAAAGUGUAUACUCAGCAACUGUAUCUUCCAACGGUGAAGGCAAAAUGAAGACGUUUUCUGAAAAACAAAAUAUGGAAGUGUUUGCCACCAACAGAUUUUCACAAAAUGAAAUUUUAAAGAAUAUAUUUCAGUCAUAAAGAAGGCGAUCUCAUAUAGAAUGUCUUAGGUGCAAGAAUUAGCGAACAAAGAAAGAGUUAUGUAGACAAAGCUAAAUAAAUAUUGGCUGAAUAAAGCAGCAACAACGUCUUGUGGCAAUAAAAAUAAUCUCUAAAAUACACAACAGCAAAUAAGUCAGGAGGAGAUGAUCAGAACUAAAGUGUUAAAGUCCUGUGGUUCAGAAGAGAAAGUAAAGCCCCCCAGUACAUAGUUGUAUAUUCUUCGUUGUGGGUCCUUCUAGUUGUGGCAUGUGGGACGCUGCCUCAGCGUGGUCUGAUGAGCAGUGCCAUGUCUGCGCCCAGGAUUCGAACCGAUGAAACACUGGGCUGCCUGCAGCAGAGCGCGCGAACUUAACCACUCGGCCACGGGGCCAGCCCCAUUAUGAGGCCUGAGAGGAAGACUCUGGCCAGUUUCUUCUGAAGACUACUGCACUCUGAGGCCUCAUUCACUGGCUUCUUUGGAUCCCUGGCUGCUAAGCCAAUUUUCAGACAAAGCUACCUUGGAAAGAGCCAAGGAAAAAGCCAUCUCCCCUUGGCCGAGUGAGCUAGGAGAACAGCUAAGUGGCCCUCAGGAGACUCCAUGGACUCUCCCCAGAAUCUGCUGAGCAUUGGAUUUCUGCUGUGCUCUCUGGCUUGCCUCCUGGAGACUGUAGGUUCCUCAACAUCGCCUUUAUCUGCCUUUGGAGUAGAAGGCAAAGCAGGAUCAAAACUACGCUCAAUGGGUGUGUUUGCUGUUAGGAUGAAUGUUCGUAGCUUUGUAAGACAUAAGAUUCGUGUCUCAGUUCAGAAAAAUUGAUUUUAUAUUUAAAAAUAAUGUUCACAAGAAAGCAAACUAUUCUGGUUUGGUUCAAUUUAGUUCAACAAGAGCUAACUCACUUACUGUGUGCACCAAACCCUUUGCUGAAUGACAUGGAUUAGGAGUUCAGAAAUGUGCAGCCAAAGCCACAGAUGCCAACCCUCCAUGGAAUAUGACACAUGCUCCCUGAGGAAAAAAGGAUAAAGUUGUCACAAAUAAAGUAAAAUAAAAUGAAUGAAAAAAUAAAGGGAUAAAUAAAGUUGGGGGAGGGAUCAGGGAAGCCGACAAAGGAAAUGAACUUUAAGCUAAACCUGAUGACCCAUUGAUCUGUGGCUUAGGUGCUCCCAAAGCCCAGCUUCCAACAUGCAUAGCCAUGCUGCUCAGAUCCUUUCCGGAGCUCCAGCUACGGAAAGUGUCUGCCUGGUGAGUGGUGAACCCUCUUGACUCCACACCACAGACACUCUUUUUCCCCUACCUCUUUCCUUGGGAUUAAAUCACAUUCCCCUCUUCUUCCUCUCCAACUUCCUAAAGAAAAGACCCAGUAUCUUGAGCCUUACCUUGAUCAGCAGACUCCCUCUAAAGUUCCUUCUGCCAGUUUCCCUGGCCCCUUCCUCCUCUGGAUGUUCCUGCAGCUGAUAGCCCUCUUUUUUCUCUUCCUGAGGCACUCACUGCCCUCAGCCUCUUGCAGAACUCCCAAACAUACUCUAGGCAACCAUAUAUUAGUUAUCAGUUCAUGCUCCUCUUUCACAAAGUACCCCAUUUACUCAAGAAGACCUCAAAACAACCCUUAAGAUGUCUGGGGCAGAGAUGAUUUUUCCUAUUGAUUUGUGAGGAGGCAAAGAUGAUAACCACCUAAGGAUACCUUUUGUGAGUGUACGUUUACCCCUUGAAUGCCUUAGAGGCAGCACAGCAAAGUAGUCAAGAAUAUGGGCUCUGGACAACUAUAAGAGCAUGAUAUUUGAGACAACUAUUUGAACUUGAACCAAGGUUCAAAUUCCAGCCUCAUCAUUUACUUGACCUCUCCUCAAUGAACAUCUAUGCUCUUUCUGCAGAAAAUCACAGAUCCUGGCUGAGCAACUUCAGGGAGUACUUGGGGGAUCUCAUCAAGAGCUCCGUACCUCCAGCAGCCAUUUUUGCUUUGCUUGUCAUCACAGCACUGAUGGGGACCCUCUGCUGCCUCACGUAAGCUGCUGUGUGGCAUGAGGAGAGGGGAGGAUAGAGGGAACCUGAGGGAGAGACAGGAACAAUCAGGUUCCCUACCAGCCUGCACAUCUGUAAUUAAGGGAAAGUUUCUUUUUUUUUUGAGGAAGACUAGCCCUGAGCUAACAUCUGCUGCCAAUCUUUCUCUUUUUUUGCUGAGGAAGACUGGCCCUGAGCUAACAUCCAUGCCCGUCUUCCUCUACUUUAUAUAUGGGACGCCUACUACAGCAUGGUGUGCCAAGUGGUGCCAUGUCCGCACUCGGGAUCCAAACUGGUGAACCCCGGGCUGCUGAACCAGAAUGUGUGCACUUAACCACUGAGCCACUGGGCCAGCCCAUAAGGGAGAGUUUUAAGAAAGGUAAUUCUGGGGACAAAACUCCAAAAGGCCAUGCAAGUCCCUUUUAAAAAGUCUCCUCUACCAGGUGGACUGUGGGGUG